rnacentral:rRNA from 1 species
GCCCUACGGGGUGCAGCAGGCGCGAAAACUGCACAAUGCUGGGAACAGCGAUGCGGGAAUUCCAAGUGCCGGCACAAAGUGUCGGCUGUUCCAUUGUCUAAAAAACAUAGAAG